rnacentral:rRNA from 1 species
GGACCUGACUGCUAUCGGAUUGAUACUAAGCCAUGCGAGUCAUUGUAGUAAUACAAGGCAGACGGCUCAGUAACGCGUAGUCAACCUAACCUAUGGGCGGGAAUAACCUCGGGAAACUGAGUAUAAUGCCCGAUAGAACAUUAUGCCUGGAAUGGUUUAUGUUCCAAAUGAUUUAUCGCCGUAGGAUGGGACUGCGGCCUAUCAGUUUGUUGGUGAGGUAAUGGCCCACCAAGACUAUUACAGGUACGGGCUCUGAGAGGAGUAGCCCGGAGAUGGGUACUGAGACACGGACCCAGGCCCUAUGGGGCGCAGCAGGCGAGAAAACUUUGCAAUGUGCGAAAGCACGACAAGGUUAAUCCGAGUGGUUUCUGCUAAAGGAACCUUUUGUCGGUCCUAGAAACACCGAUGAAUAAGGGGUGGGCAAGUUCUGGUGU